AAGACCUUGCGCUUUUGGAGCGGCCGAUGUCUGAUUAACUAGUUGGUGGGGUAAUGGCCUACCAAAGCUUCGAUCAGUAGCUGGUCUGAGAGGACGACCAGCCACACUGGGACUGAGACACGGCCCAGACUCCUACGGGAGGCAGCAGUGGGGAAUUUUGGACAAUGGGCGCAAGCCUGAUCCAGCCAUGCCGCGUGAGUGAAGAAGGCCUUCGGGUUGUAAAGCUCUUUCAGCCGGGAAGAAAAGGCUACGACGAAUAAUCGUAGCUCAUGACGGUACCGGAAGAAGAAGCACCGGCUAACUACGUGCCAGCAGCCGCGGUAAUACGUAGGGUGCGAGCGUUAAUCGGAAUUACUGGGCGUAAAGGGUGCGCAGGCGGUUUUGUAAGUCAGAUGUGAAAUCCCCGGGCUUAACCUGGGAACU
rnacentral:rRNA from 1 species